rnacentral:tRNA from 1 species
CCCUGGCUGGCUCGGCCAGUAGAGCACGUGACUCUUGAUCUUGAGGUCGUGAGUUCGAUCCCCACACUGGGGG